CAGAGGGUAGUUUAAUUUAGAAUUCUAGCUUUGGGAGCUAGUGGUGGGAGCUAAAAUCUCUUCCCUCUG
rnacentral:tRNA from 1 species